GUCAGGAUGGCCGAGUGGUCUAAGGCGCCUGAUUCAAGUUCAGGUCCUCGUUGAGGGCGUGGGUUCGAACCCCACUCCUGACA
rfam:Triticum aestivum genome assembly, contig: Triticum_aestivum_CS42_TGACv1_scaffold_577836_7BL